UUCAAACCUGGAACAUCUUUGUAUGUAAUGGUGAAUUAAUGAACAAUCCUGUCUUACCCAUACAAUGAUAUGUGACUUCAAGAGCUGAUUCGACAUUCCUGACAAUUUUAGAGACAACCUUUGAGGUCACUGAGGACUUGCAUAGGAAGGGUUUUCCCUGGGGAACCUGGAUGGGGGCCAGAGUCAGGGAUCUCAGAGUUCUGGGUCCCAGGAACAUUAUCCAUGGCUUCUAGGCCAGACUCAUCAGAGUGCUGUGUUCUGAAAGGAGCUGGUUCAAUCCUUUCAAAGGGCAAUAUCCCCAGCCCUAAGUAGUUCUUAAAACACCAAACAACAUUAGCUCCCACAAAUGAGGGAGGCUUAAACCUAAAUCUGAUUACAGCCAAGAGUGGCAAGGCGGCUAAGGUGCUAUAAAGAAAUUACGUUAUUAUGUCCAAGGGAUGCCAUUUAAACUCUGUUUACAAACCAAAUGUGCCAGAGAGUGGGUCAGGGAAAGAAUUAUUAGCAACAAAGCUAUUUGAUCUCUUUUAUGAUCCAGUGAGUCAUAUCGCUCCAUGAUCUAGAAGGUGAAUAAUGAAAACCUCAAGCCUGUUGAUUUAUAAACAGGCCCAGAAUUCUGUGUUCUUUAACCUCAGAUGCCCUCUUAAGUGUGACUUACCCUAAAUCAAAUGGG
rnacentral:lncRNA from 1 species